GUCUAUGGCCAUGCCGCCCCUGAACAAGCCCAAUGUCUGAUCUCGUGAAGCUAAGCAGGGUUGGGCCUGGUUAGUACUUGGAUGGGAGAUCAACUAGGAAGACCAAGUGCCGUGGGCA
rnacentral:rRNA from 1 species